rnacentral:pre_miRNA from 1 species
AGAUGCAUUACUGGGCGACUCUCCCUCUGGCAGAAGCUGUAUUAUAUUAUUUUAGCCAGUUCUUAAUUAAAAUUAGCUCUCUGCCAAAGGAGAUUUGUCCCGCAAUUCAUCG